UCAGACGAUGCGUCAUGCAUAUCAAUAAGCGGAGGAAAAGAAACUAACUAGGAUUCCCCUAGUAACGGCGAGUGAAGCGGGAAGAGCUCAAAUUUGAAAUCUUCAAGGUUUUACCUUGACGAAUUGUAGUUUAAAGAAGUGUUUUCUGUUGGAGUUUUGGUAAAAGUUCUUUGGAAAAGGACAUCAUAGAGGGUGAGAAUCCCGUAUUUGACCAUUAUCUCCAGCUUUGUGAUACACUUUCAAAGAGUCGGAUUGUUUGGGAAUGCAGUCCAAAAUGGGUGGUAAAUUUCAUCUAAAGCUAAAUAUUGGCGAGAGACCGAUAGCGAACAAGUACCGUGAGGGAAAGAUGAAAAGAACUUUGAAAAGAGAGUUAAACAGUACGUGAAAUUGUCAAAAGGGAAGCGUUUGACACCAGUGUUGUUUUCUCGAAAAUCAAUUAAAAAGAGUUUGAUUUUGUGUUGUAUUGACCUUAACAGCUUGCAUUUCACUCUUUCCUGCUUUUUUUAAUGCACUUUUCGUUUAACAAGUCAACAUCAGUUUCUUUUGUUGUAAAAGGGUCAUUGGAAGGUGGCUUUCUCUUCGGAGAAAGUGUUUAUAGCCUUUGAUCUCUGCAAUCGGAGAGACUGAGGUCUGCAGCGUAGAUCCUUCGGGGUUAGAUACAUUUGUGCUAAGCUAUCAGCUUUUCAUAGACAACUUGUUGACUAUGAUUUAGUCUUGUAGCUUACCCGCUUAUGCUAUUUUACCUACGCUUAGGAUGUUGAUAUGCAUGACUGAUAU
rnacentral:rRNA from 1 species